rnacentral:rRNA from 1 species
AACGGGGAGGAAGGUGGGGAUGACGUCAAGUCCUCACUUGGCCUUUAUGGCCCAGGGCUACACACGUACUACAAUGGCCGGUACAGAGCGAAGCAAGACCGCAAGGUGGAAGCAAAUCGCAGAAAGCCGGCCCAGUUCAGAUUGAGGGCUGAAACUCGCCCUCAUGAAGUCGGAAUCGCUAGUAAUCGCGUAUCAGCAGGUCGCGGUGAAUACGUUCCCGGGUCUU